ensembl:lncRNA LINC02822 long intergenic non-protein coding RNA 2822
GGGGGAUGGGGAAGAGAUGGCAUUGGUGAUUCAAGACUCUUUGCUAUCCUCUUCAAUGCCUCUUUCAGUGUAGGAAGUUAAAAUCAGUUAUGUAAUGGAAUUGAAUGAAGCAAGUGUCAGAUCUACAUCUCUACAAACACUCACUUUAUCAGUUCAGAGAAUAAAGAGAUGAAUUUAAUAAUGCCACUGGACACUUAUACUCUAUCGGAUCCUAAUAAUUUCUCACACUAAUGAAUUCUUCUAUCAACUUCAUGUUAAUCAAGAGGAGACAGAGCCAAGAAGUGAGUAAUUGCUUACUGAAUUGUGAAAGCUGGGAUGAUUUAACUACAGCCUCCCUAGAAUGUGACAGUCCACAGAAAUAUCUGAUUUCAAAGAGAUGCUUGCAUUCUGUACUGAUGCCAUCUAGAAUUGUAAAUGACCAGUGUCACACUGCUAAGUGGAGAAAGCGUGAAAGAAGAAUCCCAUCAGUACAUUCACGAUAGAGGAAAUAAGAAACAAUGAAAGCCACAAGUUUACUCGAAGGCAGCAAAAUUGGCCCUACUCCCAACCCUGCAACAUGCACCAUUUCCAUAAACAAUCUACAGAGAUGGCUGAGAAAAAGAAAAAGGGGUACUCUCCUUUACCCCUUCUCCAAAGCCCGAUGAAGUAAAGAGUAGAAAUCAAGAGUGUCUACAAGAAUUGGGGAUUGGCAUUGAUUCUCCACUGUGUGAUUACUCAUGCUUUAUGGCAAUGUGCCUAUUUAAAGGGCAGGUAAUGACUUAGCAAGAAGGAAGGAGAGAGAAUGUCAAACUCACCUGAAGUCUUACCAAUUGGUGUGGCAGGUAUGUGGCUGUUUCCCAUGAGUGAAUACACUAUAAGAUUAUUAGGCUCUAGCUGUUUUGCUUGUAUCUAAUCCAGGUGACACCAGCAUUUAGAGACUAUGAGGUGUACUGGGAGCUGAGAUAAUGAAAGAGGUAGCAUUAAAGUAAUAUCCCCCAAAUUAUGGCAGAUCUAUGGUUAGAAGCCUAAGAAUAACAUGUGAAAACCUCAUGUCAGAGCCUGACAAUAUACCAGAAUUUGGAUACCUGCCAUACAGAAGGUACCAGCCGCCAAGGGGUAACUGUCAGAAAAGUGACAACAAUCACAAGUUGGGAAAAGGACUUGUCUCUUUGCCCCUCACUCCUCUCUGUGCCCAAUAAUUUGGAUGAGCUAUUGCCUACAGAAUGAAAGGAGAGUUGUAGGGCUAUGAAUCAAAUAUGAGACAAGUUUUAAAUGAGAAGAAAGUAACAUUUAAUAAGCAAAAAUGCCCAGAGAACUAUGGAAUCAUCCCAAGAAAGGAUUAAUAAACAAAAAUUGGAUUCAAUAGAAAACACAUCAGAGAAAAAAGUUAAUAUUUUUAUACCAUAGAUGUGAGAGUCCUUAAUGCACUAGUUACAGCAUAUUAGUGCAUUAUGUACAUUCCAUGUGACUCUCUUAUUACCACUAUACCCACAAUGCUUAGAACUGGGUCCUCAAUAAUCGAGUAUGGGUGGCUAAAGGACUUUUCAUUUUAUGUGGCAGAGGAUAAUAAUAAAAAAAGAAAUAAUAGAGGAAGAAACUGGCUUUGGUGUUCUAGACAUAUUAGGGCUGAAACCCAAAUAUUCAGUUACCUGUUUUGCUUGGCCUACAUCCAUUUUCAGCAGUGCACUCAAAGUCUCCAAAGAAAUUUGCAGAGAAUUUCUUCCAGUAGCCCCAAGAGUUCUCAGCAUAAGUACUGGAAAAACUCACUAGCAUGGAGGAUGCUUCUCUCCAGUGGAAUCAACAGUGGCCUCUGCUGAUUCAGAGACUUCAGUGUUCCACAGUGAAACUAGAUUGUGAUGAGAGCAAAUAUGGCUGGAAGGCAACACUGCUCAGGUGGUUAGAGCGUGAGUUCUGUAGUAUCAAGGAGCUUUUUUCUCAGUGUGUCUGUCAGUGGAGAAUUUGGGGGAAAGAUCAAAUCAAAUUGCUAAAUAAAACAUAAAGCCCCACAGAGAUGGAAGCCAGCAAUAUGUGUAUGCUGUGGUUUGGGUGCCCCCUUUACCUUCCAGAAUGUCUUUGAACUGCAUGUUGAGCUGGUUUCACCUGGGUGAAAACAUGAGGGAAAAGGAAGUAAGGGAAGGAUGGACAGAUAGUGGUAGAGACUGAUGACCACUUCAAGUAAGUGUGCUAUCAGGAGAAUAACUCUCCCAUGUCUUCAUAGGAGUCAGUGAACAGUCACCUGUUGUAUAGAAUCACCCAUGGGCAGUCACUGGUUACCAGCAGCAGCACCAACCAACCACCUGAGAAUUACACCAAUGGUCAGUUAGGCAAAGAGACAUCUGCCUCCCUCUCCUCUUCCCCAACACUUAGAUUUUACUUAUCACUGAUUCUUGCAUAGAAAUGGUUCUGACUGGUGAAAACAAAGAGAAAAAUAUGUUGAAGGAAGUACCUAUGAACCUAAUUAUUAUUUUACUCAUUUUUUUCUCCAAAGUCUAUUGAUAAAUAAUGUUUUCAGUGUCAACUUUGACUUUAUUUUCAAUAUACAAAGUCAAACUAAAAACUUUCGUAUUUCAGGUUGAAAUUUAUAGUGUAACUCUUUACUUUUAAUGGCUUCCAGUUGUUCUAUUUUGGUUUCUGGCAGAAAUCCUUUUGGUAUGUUACAUAGAAAUAUAGAUAGAUAAAGGAAAGCCAAUUAUCUUUUCUUUACAGAGAAAUAUCCUGAAUGCUGUAAGUUGAGGGGAAUGGCAGGGUAUGUACUGGUAUGACUGGCCAAUACAGAAUCUAGUCUAGCUGAGAUAUGGCUUUUAGUAGGAAGCCUCAUAGGGAACAUGAUGGAGGAAAAUCCUUUCAUUUAUGGUAUCAAGAGAUUUUCAUUUUAAUCCCAGCUAUAUUUUACAUCAAUGUUGUCAUGCAUUCUAUCUUCUCUGGGCUUGAGAUAUACAAGAUGAGGAUGCUGAUUUAGCAGAAGUUCAAGCAUCCUUUCCAAGGUGAACAUCUAUGACCACUCAGUGUUGAGAAUUACUUCAGACUAUUAUUAACACUAUUAUUAACCAAAGGAAGGACCCCCCUGAUUACUGAUCAGUUCUCCAGUCCAUUGGGAAAUCCUUCUAAAGGCCAUUUCAUUUCAGACUGAAAUGUACAAAUGUAUAAAGAGUGGAAAAGACAUCAAAACUAAAAAUACUAUGUUAAACUUUGUUCCAUAUAGGACAAUACAUCAAAGAUUAAAGUUAGGUUGAAAGCAA